UAGCGACACUUAACAUAACCAAAGCAAACGAGACUGAAGCUCAGUUUUGAGGUUUCGAUAUCUGAACUAAAAAUAGAUAAGAGGAGGGAGGGACUGCUGCUUUGGCGUUCUUAACCUGCACUGUUGGAAAUCACAAGGGUUCUUUAAAUAGGUGUGAAUAAGAAAACACAAUGAUGACGAAUGGUACAGUGAAGCACAAAGAGAAGUAGCAGAUGAUGUAGGAGACAUUGACAGG